UCUGGCUCACGAUGAACGCUGGCGGCGUGCCUAACACAUGCAAGUCGAGCGAUUCUCUUCGGAGAAGAGCGGCGGACGGGUGAGUAACGCGUGGGUAACCUGCCCUGUACACACGGAUAACAUACCGAAGGUAUGCUAAUACGGGAUAAUAUGUUUUGAUCGCAUGGUCGAAAUAUCAAAGCUCCGGCGGUACAGGAUGGACCCGCGUCUGAUUAGCUAGGUUGGUGAGGUAAUGGCUCACCAAGGCGACGAUCAGUAGCCGACCUGAGAGGGUGAUCGGCCACAUUGGAACUGAGGCACGGUCCAAACUCCUACGGGAGGCAGCAGUGGGGAAUAUUGCACAAUGGGCGAAAGCCUGAUGCAAGCAACGCCGCGUGAGCGAUGAAGGCCUUCGGGUCGUAAAGCUCUGUCCUCAAGGAAGAUAAUGACGGUACUUGAGGAGGAAGCCCCGGCUAACUACGUGCCAGCCGCUGC
rnacentral:rRNA from 1 species